rnacentral:rRNA from 1 species
AUUGAACGCUGGCGGCAGGCCUAACACAUGCAAGUCGAGCGGAGCGGCGGACGGGUGAGUAAUGCCUAGGAAUCUGCCUGGUAGUGGGGGAUAACGUCCGGAAACGGGCGCUAAUACCGCAUACUAUCAGAUGAGCCUAGGGCGGAUUAGCUAGUUGGUGGGGUAAAGGCCUACCAAGGCGACGAUCCGUAACUGGUCUGAGAGGAUGAUCAGUCAAACUGGAACUGAGACACGUGCCGGACUCCGACGGGAGGCAGCAGUGGGGAAUAUUGGACAAUGGGCGAAAGCGUGAUCCAGCAAUGCAGGGUGUGUGAAGAAGGUCUUCGGGGUGUAAAGUACUUGCAGCGGGGAGGCGUUACCCGCAGAAGAAGCACCGGCUAACUCCGUGCCAGACGCCGCGGUAAUAC